rnacentral:rRNA from 1 species
UGGUGGAGUGAUUUGUCUGGUUAAUUCCGUUAACGAACGAGACUUCGACCUACUAAAUAGUUUGCCCAACCCUUGGGUUGGAGUAAGCUUCUUAGAGGGACUAUCGGUGACUAGCCGAUGGAAGCUCGAGGCAAUAACA